CCCAGACUCCUACGGGAGGCAGCAGUGGGGGAUAUUGCACAAUGGGGGGAACCCUGAUGCAGCGACGCCGCGUGGGUGAAGGAGCGUUUCGGCGCGUAAAGCCCUCUCGGCAGGGAAGAAGGAGGACGGUACCUGACUAAGAAGCCCCGGCUAACUACGUGCCAGCAGCCGCGGUAAUACGUAGGGGGCAAGCGUUAUCCGGAUUUACUGGGUGUAAAGGGGGCGCAGACGGCAGCGCAAGCCAGGAGUGAAAGCCCGGGGCCCAACCCCGGGACUGCUCUUGGAACUGCGCGGCUGGAGUGCAGGAGGGGCAGGCGGAAUUCCUGGUGUAGCGGUGAAAUGCGUAGAUAUCAGGAGGAACACCGGUGGCGAAGGCGGCCUGCUGGACUGCGACUGACGUUGAGGCCCGAAAGCGUGGGGAGCAAACAGGAUUAGAUACCCUAGUA
rnacentral:rRNA from 1 species